CCUACGGGGGGCUGCAGUGGGGAAUAUUGGACAAUGGGGGGAACCCUGAUCCAGCCAUGCCGCGUGUGUGAAGAAGGCCCUCGGGUUGUAAAGCACUUUCAGUGAGGAAUAACGCCUGGUGGUUAAUACCCAUCAGGAAAGACAUCACUCACAGAAGAAGCACCGGCUAACUCCGUGCCAGCAGCCGCGGUAAUACGGAGGGUGCGAGCGUUAAUCGGAAUUACUGGGCGUAAAGCGCGCGUAGGUGGCUUGAUAAGCCGGUUGUGAAAGCCCCGGGCUCAACCUGGGAACGGCAUCCGGAACUGUCAAGCUAGAGUGCAGGAGAGGAAGGUAGAAUUCCCGGUGUAGCGGUGAAAUGCGUAGAGAUCGGGAGGAAUACCAGUGGCGAAGGCGGCCUUCUGGACUGACACUGACACUGAGGUGCGAAAGCGUGGGUAGCAAACAGGAUUAGAUACCCGUGUAGUC
rnacentral:rRNA from 1 species